AUGUGGGAGAGCUCCCGUGGCCAUCACAGCUGGGCCGCCGUAAGCAGUGAUGUGCUGUUCCUACUGGGCCCUGCAAACUACAAAGCCGCGAGCAAACACAAGGUUGCUUCACACCAUGCGUUUUUGCGAGUUUGUUGUGCAGCGAGGUCACACCAGACAGUCGAAGAUGCUCUUCUCCCGGAUCUUUGCCUGGUGAACGCAGGUUUCCAGCCACUGCCUCAGGCAGGCGCCAGCUGCGCGGGCAACGCCGCGGACACAUGUUGCACCUUUCACCGCACGAGCACUGGGAUGUCCAUUUCACAGGUGAGGACAGGGAGGCUCUGCGCAGGCUCACAGUCCCAGCUGGAAAGCGGCAGAGGUGCGGUGUGAACCCGGGGUCAUCGGAGCUUUCAUUUAUUUUCAUUUUUAUUUGAAAGGCAGAGAGAGAGAGAGAGAGACAUCUUCUAUCUGCUGGUUCACUCUUCAAAUGCCCACAACAGCCACCGUGGGGCCAUGCUGAAACCACGAGCCUGGACUCUCAUCGGGGGUAGCAGGGGCCCACGUACUUGAGGCAUCAUCUGCUGCCUGCCAGGGUGCAUUAGCAGGAAGCUGGAUCAGAAGCAGAGGCACCCCAACAUGGGAUGCAGGCACCUCCAAGUCGUGGCGUAAGCCCUUUCACCAGACAUCUGCCCCAGAGUUUGUGCUUUGAGUGUAGCUUCUUGGCUGCGCGCAAAGAGCUGAGUGGGGCCAUGCAGGGGUGAUGCACAUACGGCCCCUGAGACUUCCUCCGGUCCUCUCCAUCUCACUUUCAGUGUGGGGUAAGAGAGCCUUCAGGCAAUAAGGGCCUGCCUGGUGCAGAGACACAGGCAUCCUGCCUGGGAGAACAGGGAAGUCACCCACCUGGACUCGGCUUUGAGCGGGGUGUUUAAGAGGUGGAAGGGUGGGCACAUGUGUGAGUUCACUCAGCAGUCACUCCCCGAGCCCUGGAUGGGUGCUGGAUGCCGUGCUGGGCAGAGGACACCUGCCUGGCCCUCUCUAAGUUGCAGUACUUGUGCUGUGUCCCUGUAGGUGCGGACAGGUGGGAUGGGAGUGCAGGCGGAUGGCUGCACCCAACUUUGCUCUGGGCUGAGAAUGUUUGUCUAGGAGCUAGAGCUUUCUCUCUGUGCAGUGUGUCUAAACAAGGAGGUGUGUGUGUGUGUGUGUGUGUGUGAGUGUGUGUGUGUGUGUGAUAUCUCUGUGCGCUGGGUGCAGGGCUUAGAUGUCUGUGGGGUGACUGUGUGUGCAAAUCUUUGUGCACGGGGUAAAGGGGAGGAUGCAGCAGGGCUACAUGUACUGCGUGUAGUUGUGUUUGUCCUUGGUGAGGCGUGUGCAGGGUCUGCAUGUGUGCACC
rnacentral:lncRNA from 1 species